rnacentral:rRNA from 1 species
GUGGGGAAUAUUGGACAAUGGGCGAAAGCCUGAUCCAGCCAUGCCGCGUGUGUGAAGAAGGUCUUCGGAUUGUAAAGCACUUUAAGUUGGGAGGAAGGGUUGUACGUUAAUACCGUGCAAUUUUGACGUUACCGACAGAAUAAGCACCGGCUAACUUCGUGCCAGCAGCCGCGGUAAUACGAAGGGUGCAAGCGUUAAUCGGAAUUACUGGGCGUAAAGCGCGCGUAGGUGGUUCAGUAAGUUGGAAGUGAAAUCCCCGGGCUCAACCUGGGAACUGCUUUCAAAACUGCUGAGCUAGAGUACGGUAGAGGGUAGUGGAAUUUCCUGUGUAGCGGUGAAAUGCGUAGAUAUAGGAAGGAACACCAGUGGCGAAGGCGACUACCUGGACUGAUACUGACACUGAGGUGCGAAAGCGUGGGGAGCAAACAGGAUUAGAUACCCGAGUAGUCC